UUCUGUUAAGAAAUGGAAAACUCUCGCUCUGAAAUCCUUUGCGCACAUUUGCGCCUGUGAAUUAUCUCGUACCUACAGAGCUUAAGUGGCAUAUCUAAUCGUCUUGCAGUAUUUUAGGGCCAUUAAAAGAACCAUUCCGACCGCAUUCAAAAGGUCUUACAGUACGUAAGUCGAAUUGGGCUUCCCAGCGAGUUCCCCCUUCGCAGCAUUCUGGACAAUUAAAUUAAUAAGCAGCUAGCACCAAUGCAUACACAAGAAUACUUACUAAUGGCCUAAGAUACAAAUAAAGCAAAUAAAGCCAAGUACCUCUGGUAAUUUACUCAAAAGGACAAAAGGAAACAGAAGCUGUGUGCCCGUAAUUUGUUUUGCUUAAGUUGAACAUUAAAAACGCGAAUAAGUUGACCCUUUGUUAAUUUAGUAUAAAAAAAUUGUAUGUUACAAAUUGUAACUUACUACAACUUUUUACUGCCCAUGCAAACGUUACUUCAAGUCACAUCGAGGCUUUUCAGGAAAUGGUUAUGGAUUGGCAACUCCUAAAAAAAUGGGAGUCCAAGCAUAUUCCGAAAUAAAGUCUUAGCGGAAAGAAACAAUUAAAAGCUUUAAAUUAGCCACAUACACGUAUGCACAUAUACAUUUAUACAAUAUGCCAAAGAAUAAAAACGAAACAUGAAAAUGAACUGCAAAUGAGCAUACGUGUGUAUGUGUAUACAUACAUACAUAUGUAUGUAUACAUGCACAUGGAUGUCGUUUUGCAAUUCUUUGCUUUCGGUAUGGAUUUACUUAUGUGUGUGGAACAAACAUGAGAUCUCUCGGGAAAAAAAUUUAAUAUUUGAAAUAAAUUUGAUAAGCUUGC